GACGAACGCUGGCGGCGUGCUUAACACAUGCAAGUCGAACGGCAAGGCACUGCUUUUGUGGUCUUAUCGGUUGCCGAACGGGUGCGUAACACGUGAGUAACCUGACCUACACUUUGGGAUAACUUAACGAAACUGGGGCUAAUAUCGGAUAGGAGCCCACCUUGCAUGGUGGGGGUUGGAACUUUUCGGCUGUUGGGGAUGGAGUGGCGGCUUAUCACUUUGUUGGUUGGGUAGUGGCUUGCCAAGGCUUUGUCCGGUCGCCGGCCUGUGAGGGUGACCGGGCUCAUUGGUACUGAGAUACGGACCAGACGCGUACAUGAGACAGUGGUGGGAAGUAUUGCACAAUCGGACGAAGCCUGAUGCAGCAACGCCGCGGGCGUGAUGACGGCCUUCGGGUUGUAAACCGCUUUCGCCUGUGACGAAGCGGGACUGACGGUAAUGGGUAAAGAAGCACCGGCUAACUACGUG
rnacentral:rRNA from 1 species